rnacentral:rRNA from 1 species
GACGAACGCUGGCGGCGUGCUUAACACAUGCCAGUCGAACGGAAAGGCCCUGCUUUUGUGGGGUUCUCGAGUGGCGAACGGGUGAGUAACACGUGAGUAACCUGCCCUUGACUUUGGGAUAACUUCAGGAAACUGGGGCUAAUACCGGAUAGGAUCUCCUGCUGCAUGGUGGGGGUUGGAAAGUUUCGGCGGUUGGGGAUGGACUCGCGGCUUAUCAGCUUGUUGGUGGGGUAGUGGCUUACCAAGGCUUUGACGGGUAGCCGGCCUGAGAGGGUGACCGGCCACAUUGGGACUGAGAUACGGCCCAGACGCCUACGGGAGGCAGCAGUGGGGAAUAUUGCACAAUGGGCGGAAGCCUGAUGCAGCAACGCCGCGUGCGGGAUGACGGCCUUCGGGUUGUAAACCGCUUUCGCCUGUGACGAAGCGUGAGUGACGGUAAUGGGUAAAGAAGCACCGGCUAACUACGUG